rnacentral:sRNA from 1 species
GCUGGGCAGAGUGGUGCAUGCCUGUAAUCCCAGCAGCCAGGGAGGCUGAGGCAGGAGGAUCGCAAGGUCAAAGUCAGCCUCAGCAACUUGGCAAGGCCCUAAGCAAUUUAGCGAUACUCUGUUUUAA